AGAGUUUGAUCCUGGCUCAGGAUGAACGCUAGCGGCAGGCUUAAUACAUGCAAGUCGAGGGGCAGCGGGUCCUUUCGGGGAUGCCGGCGACCGGCGAACGGGUGAGUAACACGUAUGGAACCUACCUUUAACUGGGGAAUAGCCCCGAGAAAUCGGAGUUAAUACCCCAUAUAAUAAUGAAGGGACAUCUCUUUAUUAUGAAAGCUCCGGCGGUUAAAGAUGGCCAUGCGGUCCAUUAGCUUGUUGGUGAGAUAAAGGCUCACCAAGGCCACGAUGGAUAGCUGAUCUGAGAGGAUGAUCAGCCACAUUGGCACUGAGACACGGGCCAAACUCCUACGGGAGGCAGCAGUAGGGAAUCUUGGUCAAUAGGCGAAAGCCUGAACCAGCCAUGCCGCGUGCAGGAUGAAGGCCCUACGGGUCGUAAACUGCUUUUAUUCGGGAAGAAAAAGACUGUUUCCACAGUCCUUGACGGUACCGAAUGAAUAAGGACCGGCCAACUCCGUGCCAGCAGCCGCGGUAAUACGGAGGGUCCAAGCGUUAUCCGGAUUCACUGGGUUUAAAGGGUGCGCAGGCGGUCAGGUAAGUCAGUGGUGAAAGCCUUCGGCUCAACCGGAGAAUUGCCAUUGAAACUACUUGACUUGAGUGUAGUAGAGGUGGGCGGAAUGUAGCAUGUAGCGGUGAAAUGCAUAGAUAUGCUACAGAACACCGAUAGCGAAAGCAGCUCACCAUACUACGACUGACGCUGAGGCACGAAAGCAUGGGGUAGCCAACAGGGAUUAGAUACCCUGGUA
rnacentral:rRNA from 1 species